rnacentral:rRNA from 1 species
CCUACGGGAGGCAGCAGUGAGGAAUAUUGGUCAAUGGGCGCGAGCCUGAACCAGCCAAGUAGCGUGAAGGAUGACUGCCCUACGGGUGGUAAACAUCUUUUAUAAAGGGGUAGAGUGAGUCACGUGUGCCUGUUUGUAUGUACUUUAUGAGUAAGGAUCGGCUAACUCCGUGCCAGCCGCCGCGGUAAUACGGAGGAUCCGAGCGUUAUCCGGAUUGAUUGGGUUUAAAGGGAACGUAGAUGGGUUGUUAAGUCAGUUGUGAAAGCUUGCGGCUCAACCGUAAAAUUGCACUUGAUACUGGCAGUCUUGAGUACAGUAGAGGUAGGCAGAAUUCGUGGUGUAGCGGUGAAAUGCUUAGAUAUCACGAAGAACUCCGAUUGCGAAGGCAGCUUACUAAACUGCCACUGACAUUGAGGUGCGAAAGUGUGGGUAUCAAACAGGAUUAGAUACCCCUGUAGUC